AAUAUUGGGCAAUGGAUGGAAGUCUGACCCAGCCAUCCCGCGUGCCGGAAGACGGCCNNNAGGGUNGUAAACGGCUUUGUAUGNUGCNAAAUAUGCGGGAUGCGCUCUGUUUUAACGUUAGCCGUUGAAUAAGGACCGGCUAACUCUGUGCCAGCAGCCGCGGUAAUACGGAGGGUGCGAGCGUUGUCCGGAUUUAUUGGGUUUAAAGGGUGCGUAGGCUGGGAGGUAAGUCAGCGGUGAAAAGCACACGCUUGACGGGUGUCUUGCCGCAGAUACUACUUUUCUUGGAUGAGGAGGAGGUCACUGGAACGGAUGGUGUAGCGGUGAAAUGCAUAGAUAUCAUCCAGAACACCGAUUGCGAAGGCAGGUGACUGUACCUUAAUCGACGCUGAGGCACGAAAGCGUGGGGAGCGAACAGG
rnacentral:rRNA from 1 species